AAUGGAAUCUCAUUUAAGGCUCGGAGAAGAUGAUGCUAGGACUCCGACAACACACAAUUGACUAAACACUCCAUAAUCAAUCCUCAAUAUGCUAACACCCUAGCUCAUCCCACAUCAAUCAUCAGGAAAAUAAUUCAUCAAUUAAGUUUUCUACACAUCCUAGAACCGUGAUCCCUCUGAUACCAAAUUGAAACAACCCGACCCAUUUUUAAAAAAAAUAUAAUUAAAUAUUCCCAUAAAUAUCUAAUUAAACCAACCAAUAAAAUAACAAUUAAACCGCAAGUUAAAAAUACUAUUUUAUGAAUAAAUAAAUAAUUCAACCAACAAAACCAAGAAUAACUAACAAUCCUAACCGGGUUCCAAUAACCAAAAACACAAAAAAUAAAACAAACGAGUUCCUAGAUCAUCCUCUCUUCAUUGCCAUGAUUCCACGAUCACACUUUAUCUUUACCUUCAUCAACAACACAAUGAGAUGCGUAAGUAUUAACAUAAAUACUUAGUGAGGCGAUCCUCCCAUCUACGAGCUAUACACACAAGCAAAUAAAAGGGUAUAAUCACAAAUACAACACAAA
rnacentral:sRNA from 1 species